rnacentral:rRNA from 1 species
GAUGAACGCUAGCGGGAGGCCUAACACAUGCAAGCCGAGCGGUAUUGUUUCUUCGGCAAUGAGAGAGCGGCGUACGGGUGCGUAACACGUGUGCAACCUGCCUUUAUCUGGGGGAUAGCCUUUCGAAAGGAAGAUUAAUACUCCAUAAUAUAUUGAACGGCAUCGUUUAAUAUUGAAAGCUCCGGCGGAUAGAGAUGGGCACGCGCAAGAUUAGCUAGUUGGUGAGGUAACGGCUCACCAAGGCGGUGAUCUUUAGGGGGCCUGAGAGGGUGAUCCCCCACACUGGUACUGAGACACGGACCAGACUCCUACGGGAGGCAGCAGUGAGGAAUAUUGGUCAAUGGGUGCAAGCCUGAACCAGCCAUCCCGCGUGAAGGACGACUGCCGUAUGGGUUGUAAACUUCUUUUGUAUAGGGAUAAACCUACCCUCGUGAGGGUAGCUGAAGGUACUAUACGAAUAAGCACCGGCUAACUCCGUG